rnacentral:rRNA from 1 species
AUUAGAAACCCUUGUAGUCCGGCUGACUGACUCUUACACCAAGUAUCUCGUAUGCCGUCUUCUGCUUGAAAAAAAUCAUAUAGCUUAACUAUAGAACUGCUUUGAAAACUGUUAAUCUAGAAUGUGGGAGAGGUAGAUGGAAUUUCUGGUGUAGGGGUAAAAUCCGUAGAGAUCAGAAGGAAUACCGAUUGCGAAGGCGAUCGACUGGAGCAUUAUUCACGCUGGGAUUUGUAAGCCUGGCGCGCAAAUAG